AUACGUAGGUGACAAGCGUUAUCCGGAUUUACUGGGCGUAAAGGGCGUGUAGGCGGUCUUGCAAGUCAGAAGUGAAAUUCCUGAGCUCAACUCGGGCGCUGCUUCUGAAACUGCAGGACUUGAGUGCUGGAGGGGAUAGCGGAAUUCCUAGUGGAGCGGUAAAAUGCGCAGAUAUUAGGAAGAACACCGGUGGCGAAGGCGGCUAUCUGGACAGUAACUGACGCUGAGGCGCGAAAGCGGGGGGAGCAAACAGGAUUAGAUACCCGGGUAGUCCACGCCGUAAACGAUGAAUACUAGGUGUAGGGGGUAUCGACUCCCUCUGUGCCGCAGUUAACACAAUAAGUAUUCCGCCUGGGGAGUACGGCCGCAAGGUUGAAACUCAAAGGAAUUGACGGGG
rnacentral:rRNA from 1 species